UUGCUCCCGGAUGUUAGCGGCGGACGGGUGAGUAACACGUGGGUAACCUGCCUGUAAGACUGGGAUAACUCCGGGAAACCGGAGCUAAUACCGGAUAGUUCCUUGAACCGCAUGGUUCAAGGAUGAAAGACGGUUUCGGCUGUCACUUACAGAUGGACCCGCGGCGCAUUAGCUAGUUGGUGAGGUAACGGCUCACCAAGGCGACGAUGCGUAGCCGACCUGAGAGGGUGAUCGGCCACACUGGGACUGAGACACGGCCCAGACUCCUACGGGAGGCAGCAGUAGGGAAUCUUCCGCAAUGGACGAAAGUCUGACGGAGCAACGCCGCGUGAGUGAUGAAGGUUUUCGGAUCGUAAAGCUCUGUUGUUAGGGAAGAACAAGUGCAAGAGUAACUGCUUGCACCUUGACGGUACCUAACCAGAAAGCCACGGCUAACUACGUGCCAGCAGCCGCGGUAAUACGUAGGUGGCAAGCGUUGUCCGGAAUUAUUGGGCGUAAAGGGCUCGCAGGCGGUUUCUUAAGUCUGAUGUGAAAGCCCCCGGCUCAACCGGGGAGGGUCAUUGGAAACUGGGAAACUUGAGUGCAGAAGAGGAGAGUGGAAUUCCACGUGUAGCGGUGAAAUGCGUAGAGAUGUGGAGGAACACCAGUGGCGAAGGCGACUCUCUGGUCUGUAACUGACGCUGAGGAGCGAAAGCGUGGGGAGCGAACAGGAUUAGAUACCCUGGUAGUCCACGCCGUAAACGAUGAGUGCUAAGUGUUAGG
rnacentral:rRNA from 2 species